GGGGAAUAUUGCGCAAUGGGGGCAACCCUGACGCAGCAAUACCGCGUGAGUGAAGAAGGUUUUCGGAUCGUAAAGCUCUGUUAUUGGGGAAGAAGAAGUGACGGUACCCAAUGAGGAAGUUUUGGUUAACUACGUGCCAGCAGCCGCGGUAAUACGUAGGGGACAAGCGUUGUCCGGAAUCACUGGGCGUAAAGGGCGCGUAGGCGGUUUUUUAAGUCAGAUGUGAAAGGUACCGGCUCAACCGGUGACGUGCAUUUGAAACUGAAAGACUUGAGUACUGGAGAGGCAAGUGGAAUUCCUAGUGUAGCGGUGAAAUGCGUAGAUAUUAGGAGGAACACCGGUGGCGAAGGCGGCUUGCUGGACAGAUACUGACGCUGAGGUGCGAAAGCGUGGGGAGCAAAC
rnacentral:rRNA from 1 species